GUGGCAGAUGAAAAUCUUGACAAACAUUUACUGGCGAGUUUGUCAUCAGGGAGAAGAGAAAUUUUCCACUGGUCCAAUCUCCAUCAGGGAUCAUGCUUAUUACCUUCAAAGCAUGAAUUCUUCCCAGGACAGCUCAACAGUGUCUGUUACAGCUGCUGCAAUCUCUUCCUCACUGUUUCAUCUCACCAAUCUGAAACCUUGAGACCGGAGAGGGGGGGAACAAACAUUACAUUACAGGCUCUUAACAGAAUAAUAUAUAAAGUACAAAGGGUUUCGUGGUUAAUACUGGACAUUCAUUUAUCCUCCCCGAUUCAAUCCGAGACGCCACGGAAAAGAGGCGAGCAGAAAGCGCAGGGAUGUUUGAUAUUGCAUCUGAAAGUUAUAAACCCAGGAUGUCUCACAGCAGAGAGCCCAGGCUGUCAAAGAUGCAGCUUGUGUUCCGUAAAACAGUGAGAACCAAAGUAGACGUACUGCACCUUUACAUACAUGUUUAAACAGAGGUGACGCAGACGGCCGCGGUCUUGUCAGAGCUGCCGUCUCAGACCCAUUUCCUCAGGUCAUUUUAUACUGCUGUGACAGAGGCAUCACCAUCAGUAGGAUAUUCUCCUGAAGAUCAAACCACCAACAUCAUCCUCCGCCUCCAUCUGGCUCAUACAGGUCUCCACCAAAUGCCUUGUGAUCCACUAGGAUAAAAAAUAAAGUGCAGGAGAAGAUGGGUUAUUUUCCAGUGCUCCAAAUACAGAGUAAAUGUUUUCAUGAACUCGUCAACACUGAACUUUAAAAGUUUAAAAGGUGACAUGACAGCAGUUAAAUUACAUCAAGAAAUGAAAUAAAUCCUGCUAAAAGCGGAACAUCUAAAUAGAAAACAGACGUAUCCGCUAAAGCGCUCUUUAUUUAUUUAUUCUUCAAACUGACCAAAACAUCAAAAUAUUAAAUUUCUGAUCAGGUUUCAAAGGAAAAGCACUAAAUUACCAUAUUUGACAAGCUCCGACUAAGGAAUGUUUGCAGGUUUUAUUUGACAGCCAAUCGACUGAGUGAUCGAUCAACUUCUUAUUGCAGCUCGAAUCUAAUUCAACGUUAGUUUGAACGUGAAUCGUAUACAUUCUGAGACAAGGGAGUCACUGGGUCGGGCUAAAGUGUUCUGAGAGAACAGGAAGUCGCUCAAGUUAGCAUCGCGGCUAGCCGGAGGGAGGCCAUGGUAGCAAUGUAGCAUACCCAGGCUAAGCUAACAUGUGUAGCAGUUACUUUCUUUUCCCCCCCAAAAAAACACCUUUAUGGUAUUUUGUAUCGUUGCCAAUUCAACAGCUGACCUAGCGGCUGCUAUUUCUGAACAUUAGUGACACGAAACGGAUUCAAACAACGAUACAAAAUGGCCUGAGCAAAAAAGACACGUGUCCGCACACGAUCCGGUACAACGCUUCGACUCCACAACUACGUUUUUCCUCAACAUGGCGACGUAAUAUAUACUUACAACAGAACAUGUCGUUAGUGAAGAUUGAAUCUCCGAGGUUUUGUAGCAUUUUAAACUGAAGAAAACGAGGACCUGCUCUUCCGGUGUGAACCAGUCGACUCAAAGACCGAGGAGACUUCGGUCGCUAGUAUAUAUAGUUUUUCGUCGAGGGCUCGUGUUCGCCCCCUUGAGGAUGAAGACGAAACGUUAGUUCACAAGGUCGCCCCCUU
ensembl:lncRNA